UCAUUUAGAGGAAGGAGAAGUCGUAACAAAGUUUUCAUAGGUGAACCUGCGGAAGGAUCAUUGCCGAGACUCGGAUGAGGAAGACCUGCAAACUUGUGAACGUGCUGCACCAUAGCGGGAAGGCUCGCUCAACCCACUGCGUCACCCUCACCCAACUCCACCCACUGCAUUCGCCUCGAGGCUCGAACACCUACCUGAUCAGGCACGACGGGGACGUCCGGUGCGGGGUUGGCUGGCGGACCAAACCCAACGUGGAGGGCGCCAAGGAUCUGUGGAGCGCUGAAGUGAGGGCACCUCGACGCUCGCCCAUCCCCAAUUGGGUGCCGGGAGGGUGGGGGGCACCACCACGGAUGGCAGCCUUACACCGCACGACUCUCGAUAACGGAUAUCUCGACUCUCGUAUCGAUAAAAAAUGUAGCAAAAUGGAAUCUUGCGUACCACCAAGUCUUUGAACGAAGUUGCAUCCAAGGCCACCCGACCGAGGGCACGCCUGCCUGGGCAUCACGCCAAGCGAUGCUCUGAUGCCUCGAGGGCCGUGAUAGGCUCUUGGGGAAGUCGGACGCACUCAUUGGCUCCUCGUGCCCCUCUCGGUGCGGUGGGCCGAAGAGCAGGCCGUUGGCGGGGACGGACAUGGCGGAUGGUGGAUGCUCAUGCGAUCCUGUCGCCGUGCCAUCGGACCCCAGAGAUGGAGGCAGGCCCUCCUACCGCACAAGCCACCAAAGUGCGUGCCACUUUUGGGCCCCAGGCCGAGGGUGGCGCACCUCAGAUCGUGACCCCAGGUCAGGCAGAAACACCCGUCGAGCUUAAGCAUAUCAAUAAGCGGAGGA
rnacentral:rRNA from 1 species